ensembl:lncRNA
UUUGCCUUUCACAUCACAUUAUCUCUCUUUAACACUUUAUGUGAUUCUUCUUAGAUCUUUAGUUCACUUACUGUAAACAGAUUGAAAUGUGCUGAAUGUACAUUAGUGUCUGAGUUAUGUAAGCUUGUUGCUGUUAGUCAAUACAUCACGUGUUCAUGUUUCGGUGUUUAAUGUCUGAUGUCACGGAUGUCUUGUUUUCUCUGAAGUAGUUUCUCUGUUUUUGAUGCUGCAGACGAUGAACAGAAUCAGAGUUCAGUGAUGAUGGAAUACAGACUGAAUCCAUUCAGAGACACGGUGUACCGCGGCUCCUGCUCAGAACAGCACGACAGAUUGAUUUGCAUCAGAUGAAAGGGAACCUGCGGGAUGAGAAUGGAUUAAAGAUGUUCUCCUGCUGGAGGAAAGUGAGAAAACGCUCGUUUCAAACUCUCCACCA